rnacentral:rRNA from 1 species
UACGUAGGGUGCAAGCGUUAAUCGGAAUUACUGGGCGUAAAGCGUGCGCAGGCGGUGAUGCAAGACAGAGGUGAAAUCCCCGGGCUCAACCUGGGAACUGCCUUUGUGACUGCAUGACUAGAGUACGGUAGAGGGGGAUGGAAUUCCGCGUGUAGCAGUGAAAUGCGUAGAUAUGCGGAGGAACACCGAUGGCGAAGGCAAUCCCCCUGGACCUGUACUGACGCUCAUGCACGAAAGCGUGGGGAGCAAACAGG